rnacentral:rRNA from 1 species
GGGAGUGGCGGCGUGCUAUACAUGCAGUCGAACGAGGUGCUUUUGUAGCAAUACGAGAGUAUCCUAGUGGCGAACGGGUGAGUAACGCGUUGGUGACCUGCCCCAAAGUGUGGGAUAACAGUUCGAAAGGAUUGCUAAUACCACAUGUGGUCGUUGGAUUUAGAAACCGAUGACUAAAGCAGUAAUGCGCUUUGGGAGGGACCUGCGUCCCAUCAGCUAGUUGGUGAGGUAACGGCCCACCAAGGCUACGACGGGUAGGGGGCCUGAGAGGGUGGCCCCCCACAAUGGAACUGAAACACGGUCCAUACACCUACGGGUGGCAGCAGUAGGGAAUAUUGCACAAUGGGCGAAAGCCUGAUGCAGCAACGCCGCGUGAGCGAUGAAGGCCUUCGGGUCGUAAAGCUCUUUUCUGGGAGAUGAGAAAGGACAGUAUCCCAGGAAUAAGUCUCGGCUAACUACGUGCCAGCAGCCGCGGUAACACGUAGGAGGCGAGCGUUAUCCGGAUUCACUGGGCGUAAAGCGCGUGCAGGCGGUUCGGUAAGUUGGGCGUGAAAUCUCCCGGCUCAACUGGGAGGGGUCGUCCAAUACUACCGAACUUGAGAGCGAUAGAGGAAAAUGGAAUUCCCGGUGUAGUGGUGAAAUGCGUAGAUAUCGGGAGGAACACCAGUGGCGAAAGCGAUUUUCUGGAUCGUUUCUGACGCUCAGACGCGAAAGCUAGGGUAGCAAACGGGAUUAGAGACCCCGGUAGUCCUAGCUGUAAACGAUGUGAACUUGGCGUUGGUGGCUUAAACUCCAUCAGUGCCGAAGCUAACGCGAUAAGUUCACCGCCUGGGGACUACGGCCGCAAGGUUAAAACUCAAAGGAAUUGACGGGGGCUCACACAAGCGGUGGAGGAUGUGGCUUAAUUCGAGGCUACGCGAAGAACCUUAUCCUAGUCUUGACAUGCAUUUCUAAGUCGGUGAAAGCCGGCGACCGUAGCAAUACGGAACUUGCACAGGUGCUGCAUGGCUGUCGUCAGCUCGUGUCGUGAGAUGUCGCGUUAAGUCGCUUAACGAGCGAAACCCUUGUCCUUAGUUACCAGCGGGUCAUGCCGGGGACUCUAAGGAGACUGCCGGUGUUAAACCGGAGGAAGGUGGGGAUGACGUCAAGUCCUCAUGGCCUUUAUGACUAGGGCUGCACACGUCCUACGAUGGCGGGCACAAAGGGAUGCAAACUCGUGAGAGCAAGCUAAACCCAAAAAUCCCGCCCCAGUUCGGAUUGCAGGCUGCAACUCGCCUGCAUGAAGCCGGAAUCGCUAGUAAUCGCGGGUCAGCAUACCGCGGUGAAUGUGUUCCUGAGCCUUGUACACACCGCCCGUCAAGCCACGAAAGUGGGAGGCAUCCGACAACGCUGUCGUAACCCGCAAGGGAGCAAGGCGUCUAAGAUGAAUUCCGUGAUUGGGACUAAGUCGUAACAAGGUAACCAAUU